rnacentral:rRNA from 1 species
AUUGAACGCUGGCGGCGUGCCUAAUACAUGCAAGUCGAACGGAGUGGCGCACGGGUGAGUAAUGUAUAGCUAAUCUGACCUACACUAGAGGACAACAGUUGGAAACGACUGCUAAUACUCUAUAGUGUAGGAUGAGGCUCUAUUGUAUCAUCUAGUUGGUGAGGUAAUGGCUCACCAAGGCUAUGACGCAUAACUGGUCUGAGAGUAUGAUCAGUCACACUGGAACUGAGACACGGUCCAGACUCCUACGAGAGGAAGCAGUAGGAAAUAUGGCACAAAGGGGAAAACCCUGAAGCAGCAACGCUGCAUGGAGGAUGACACUUUUCGGAGCGUAAACUCCUUUUGUUAGGGAAGCGGUACCGAACGAAUAAGCACCGGCUAACUCCGUGCCAGCAGCCGCGGUAAUUC